AUUGAACGCUGGCGGCAGGCCUAACACAUGCAAGUCGAACGGUAACAGGAAACAGCUUGCUGUUUCGCUGACGAGUGGCGGACGGGUGAGUAAUGUCUGGGAAACUGCCUGAUGGAGGGGGAUAACUACUGGAAACGGUAGCUAAUACCGCAUAACGUCGCAAGACCAAAGAGGGGGACCCUCGGGCCUCUUGCCAUCGGGUGUGCCCAGAUGGGAUUAGCUUGUUGGUGGGGUAACGGCUCACCAAGGCGACGAUCCCUAGCUGGUCUGAGAGGAUGACCAGCCACACUGGAACUGAGACACGGUCCAGACUCCUACGGGAGGCAGCAGUGGGGAAUAUUGCACAAUGGGCGCAAGCCUGAUGCAGCCAUGCCGCGUGUAUGAAGAAGGCCUUCGGGUUGUAAAGUACUUUCAGCGGGGAGGAAGGGAGUAAAGUUAAUACCUUUGCUCAUUGACGUUACCCGCAGAAGAAGCACCGGCUAACUCCGUG
rnacentral:rRNA from 1 species